ACCUCUCUAUCCAGCAUCUCUAAUCUACACACAUCAACAAACGUAGGUAUUGCAUGCAACCUUCUCCCCUGAGGCCCUUGGUCAAACGUCAUGACCAAUAUGCUAUUGUGGUGGACAGAUAAGAUACAAUUGAUACAGCGUAUAAUAUCAACAGCGCUCAUGUGCUCUUUUGAGUUUCUAAAACUACAUCUAAAAUAGUGUUACAUGCAAUAAGAAUCUAGAAAAUUGUGCAAUAAUAGUGUGAACUAAAUGGUGUUCACUUAACAUCUAGUGCAUUUUUCUAACCUAAGAUCUACAUAAAUCUAAAACCUACAUGCAAAGUACGGUGAGGAUCUAGUACGGUAAAUUUGAUAUUGCUAAGGUGAUUAGUAGGAAAAGGAGAUCGCAACAAUCGCAAGACCGGAUUGAUCAUCCGCAAACACUGCACAACGGGACUAAACGUAAGUCAAUACGGACAUAUUAUACUAAAGUUCACAAUCUAUUAUUUUAACUAAAUCUAAAUGUAAAAUGGCACACAAUAUGUAAACUAACACAUAUGUACAUGAAAUAAUUUCAGGAAUUUAAUAAUAGCCACAUUUAAACGUAAAUCCUACGUCUCCGGUCGUUUAUGCUAUUAUUAGUUUGGAAAUAAACCCUGUGCGUUUCUUCGUUGGACACAUUUCCAACAUCUUAUUAAAUUCGUUUAUAUUAACGAAUCGGUCAAUUCGGUCAUGUCGAGCCGCGGUCGGUCAAAUAAAGGCAGUAAUGCCGGUGGGGGUGAUAGUGAUGCGAAUGGUGGUGCAACUAAUGGUGCGAUUGGUGGCAUAACUGAAGGUGGUGCAACUGGUGGUUUAAGGGUGGUGGUCACCGACGAAACCGUGGAACCGG